rnacentral:sRNA from 1 species
GCUCAUCUGUGAAAUGGAGUCACGCAUCCCUGUUGUGGAGGAGUUGGGUCCCUGCUUCCCCUUCUCUGUGAGCGUGGAACUGGACGGUGUGGUCUGCCCUGCGGGCACUGCGAAUAGCAAGACAGAGGCCAAACAGCAGGCAGCGCUGUCUGCCCUCUGCUACAUCCGGAGUCAGCUGGAGAACCCAGGUAAUGGAGGGAGGGCCAGGCAGCUGAGCCGCAGCUGGGGACAAGAGGCCUGAGGCUGGCAGUCCUGUGGGGAGGCGGAAGUGGCUGUGCGUGUGAGCAGGAGGUGGGUUGCUGCACGAACCAUCUGAGCAUCAGGACAUCACCUGCAGGGAGCUGGGGCGGGGUACAUGUGCCGGUCCCUGCUUUCAUGUCCUCUGGGGACACUGGGUGUAGGGACUGCUAGAAGAGCAGCUCGUGUAAUGUCCGGUGUCUGGAAGAUGAAAACUUCCUCUCCCCACCUCCUUGGCUUCCUGAGGGAUGGAGGGUGGGCCUUGGCACCCACACCAGCCUGCCCUCCUUGCCUCUUUCAGAGUCCCCCCAGACCU